rnacentral:tRNA from 1 species
AAGGCUUUAGCUUAAUUAAAGUGUUUGUUUUGCAUACAAAAGAUGUGGGUUAGUGCCCUGCAAGUCUUA